rnacentral:rRNA from 1 species
ACGCUUCUUUUUCCACCGGAGCUUGCUCCACCGGAAAAAGAGGAGUGGCGAACGGGUGAGUAACACGUGGGUAACCUGCCCAUCAGAAGGGGAUAACACUUGGAAACAGGUGCUAAUACCGUAUAACAAUCGAAACCGCAUGGUUUUGAUUUGAAAGGCGCUUUCGGGUGUCGCUGAUGGAUGGACCCGCGGUGCAUUAGCUAGUUGGUGAGGUAACGGCUCACCAAGGCCACGAUGCAUAGCCGACCUGAGAGGGUGAUCGGCCACAUUGGGACUGAGACACGGCCCAAACUCCUACGGGAGGCAGCAGUAGGGAAUCUUCGGCAAUGGACGAAAGUCUGACCGAGCAACGCCGCGUGAGUGAAGAAGGUUUUCGGAUCGUAAAACUCUGUUGUUAGAGAAGAACAAGGAUGAGAGUAACUGUUCAUCCCUUGACGGUAUCUAACCAGAAAGCCACGGCUAACUACGUGCCAGCAGCCGCGGUAAUACGUAGGUGGCAAGCGUUGUCCGGAUUUAUUGGGCGUAAAGCGAGCGCAGGCGGUUUCUUAAGUCUGAUGUGAAAGCCCCCGGCUCAACCGGGGAGGGUCAUUGGAAACUGGGAGACUUGAGUGCAGAAGAGGAGAGUGGAAUUCCAUGUGUAGCGGUGAAAUGCGUAGAUAUAUGGAGGAACACCAGUGGCGAAGGCGGCUCUCUGGUCUGUAACUGACGCUGAGGCUCGAAAGCGUGGGGAGCAAACAGGAUUAGAUACCCUGGUAGUCCACGCCGUAAACGAUGAGUGCUAAGUGUUGGAGGGUUUCCGCCCUUCAGUGCUGCAGCUAACGCAUUAAGCACUCCGCCUGGGGAGUACGACCGCAAGGUUGAAACUCAAAGGAAUUGACGGGGGCCCGCACAAGCGGUGGAGCAUGGUGGUUUAAUUCGAAGCAACGCGGAGAACCUUACCAGGUCUUGACAUCCUUUGACCACUCUAGAGAUAGAGCUUUCCCCUUCGGGGGCAAAGUGACAG